rnacentral:rRNA from 1 species
UACGUAGGGGGCUAGCGUUGUCCGGAAUCAUUGGGCGUAAAGCGCGCGUAGGCGGUCCGGUAAGUCCACUGUGAAAGUCGGGGGCUCAACCCUCGAAUGCCGGUGGAUACUGUCGGGCUAGAGUGCGGAAGAGGCGAGUGGAAUUCCUGGUGUAGCGGUGAAAUGCGCAGAUAUCAGGAGGAACACCUAUUGCGAAGGCAGCUCGCUGGGACGUAACUGACGCUGAGACGCGAAAGCGUGGGGAGCAAACAGG